GUUUAACAAAAACAUGUCUUUUUGAUUAUAAUUUAAAGUCUAACCUGCCCAAUGAGGAUUUAAAUGGCCGCAGUAUACUGACUGUGCAAAGGUAGCAUAAUCAUUAGUUUUUUAAUUGAAAGCUGGAAUGAAAGGUUGAAUGAGAAAAUAACUGUCUCUAUUUAAAUUUAUUAGAAUUUUAUUUUUAAGUUAAAAAGCUUAAAUGUAAAUAAAAGACGAGAAGACCCUAUAGAGUUUUAUAUUUUUAAUUUUAUUUAAAUUUUAGAAUUUUAUAUUUAAUUUUUUUAAAAGUAUUUAAUUGGGGUGAUUGAAAAAUUUAUAUAACUUUUUUUAAAUUUUUACAUUGAUUUAUGAAUUAUUGAUCCUUAUAUAAAGAUUAUAAGAUUAAAUUACCUUAGGGAUAACAGCGUAAUUUUUUUUAAGAGUUCUAAUCGAAAAAAGAGAUUGCGACCUCGAUGUUGGAUUUAAA
rnacentral:rRNA from 1 species